rnacentral:rRNA from 1 species
GAGGAAUAUUGGUCAAUGGACGGAAGUCUGAACCAGCCAAGUAGCGUGCAGGAUGACGGCCCUCCGGGUUGUAAACUGCUUUAGUUCGGGAAUAACGACGGGGACGUGUCCCCGGAAAGAAUGUACCGAAAGAAUAAGGACCGGCUAAUUCCGUGCCAGCAGCCGCGGUAAUACGGAAGGUCCAGGCGUUAUCCGGAUUUAUUGGGUUUAAAGGGAGCGUAGGCGGACUGUUAAGUCAGCGGUUAAAGAGUGUGGCUCAACCAUACGAUGCCGUUGAAACUGGUGGUCUUGAGUGCACACAGGGAUGCUGGAACUCGUGGUGUAGCGGUGAAAUGCUUAGAUAUCACGAUGAACUCCGAUCGCGAAGGCAGGUGUCCGGGGUGUAACUGACGCUGAGGCUCGAAAGUGUGGGUAUCAAACAGGAUUAGAUACCCUGGUAGUCCACACAGUAAACGAUGAAUACUCGCAGUUUGCGAUACAAUGUAAGCUGCCAAGCGAAAGCAUUAAGUAUUCCACCUGGGGAGUACGCCGGCAACGGUG